rnacentral:rRNA from 2 species
UAAACCGUUCUACAAACCAACUCAGGUGGGUUGGCUUUAGUAAGCUAAGGUAUACACGGAAUUCUGGGAAAGGAACUCGGCAAAUUGCUAGCGUGACUUCGGAGGUAGCUAGUCCUAUUUUUAUAAUAGGAACCAUAAAAUCGUGGGCGGCAACUGUCUAUUAACAACACAGGACUUUGCGAAGUUUUAACUAUGUAUAAAGUCUGACGCCUGCCCGGCACAAGGGGAUAACCCAUGGUUGUAUACGCAACUAUGGAAAAGUACUUGUAAACGGCAGCCAUAACUCUGAUGGUUCUAAGGUAGCGAAAUUCCUUGGCCUGUAAUUGAGGUCCUGCAUGAAUGGCGUAAUGACUGCCCUGCUGUCUCUCCCAGAAUGUGGGUGAAUUUGAAAUUCUCGUGAAGAUGCGAGAGUCCUAAUGCGGCACAAUGAGACCCUGUGCACCUUUACUCUAAGCAAUUAGUUUAUUUUUAUAUAUAAUUUUUCAGUUUAGGUGGUAUAUUUGUAUAUGUCUAUUUUUAGAGAUAUACAAAUAGUAAGUGAGAGACCACCAUUUUAUAAAUAAAAAUUUAUAGUCUAUUUUAUUAUAUAGAUUUGUAUUGUUGCUUGGGAGUUUGCUUGGGGCGAGAUCCUCCAAAAAAGUAUCGGGGGAGUGCCAUGGUUCGUUUAUACUUUUAUAAGGUAUAAUAAAUUAUAACCAAUUAAGCGAGCCUGACUGCAAGGUAUACAAACCGAGCAGACACGUAAGUGUGUGGUAGUGAACCUGUAAAAAUAUGUGGAAAGUUUACAGAUCAACGGAUUAAAGGUACGCCAGGGAUAACAGGCUUAUUCUCUUCAAGAGUCCAUAUCAACGAGAGAGUUUGGCACCUCGAUGUCGGCUUACCGCGUCCUCUUUCUGCAGAAGGAAAGAAGGGUUAGACUGUUCGUCUAUUAAAGCGGCACGUGAGCUGGGUUUAUUCCGUCGUGAGACAGGAAGGUUCUUAUGUGCAUUAGGUAUUCUUUAGACAUGCAUAUACACCCUUUAGUACGAAAGGACCUGGGGGUGCACACCUCUGAUCUACCAGUUGUUUAACAGAAAGCACCGCUGGGCAGUUAAGUGUGUAGGUAGAAUAGCUGACAGCAUCUGAAGCUAGAAAACCAUAUGUAAAAAGUCUAUCAAUUUCGUUAUAGACUAUAACGUGAAUCGGUGCUUUGUAUAUAUAUGUAAAUAUUGGCAAGAGCAUACGAAA